rfam:Stegodyphus mimosarum contig30466, whole genome shotgun sequence.
GCCUUCGUGGUGUAUUGGUCAAGCACACUCGGCGCGUAUUCGAGAGGUCCAUGGUUCGAGUCCCGGCGCGGGCA